GAUCAUUAUUGAAAUAAAUCUGAUGGGUUGCUGCUGGUUCUCUAGGGAGCAUGUGCACACUUGUCAUCUUUAUAUCUCCACCUGUGCACCUUUUGUAGACCUGGAUAUCUUUCUGAAUGCCUGGCAUUUGGGUUUGAGGAUUGAUUUUUUUCUUUCCUUACAUUUCUCAGGUCUAUGUUUCUUCAUAUACCCCAUGUAUGUUAAAGAAUGUAAUAAACGGGCCUUUGUGCCUAUAAACCUAUACAACUUUCAGCAACGGAUCUCUUGGCUCUCGCAUCGAUGAAGAACGCAGCGAAAUGCGAUAAGUAAUGUGAAUUGCAGAAUUCAGUGAAUCAUCGAAUCUUUGAACGCACCUUGCGCUCCUUGGUAUUCCGAGGAGCAUGCCUGUUUGAGUGUCAUUAAUAUAUCAACCUCUUCAGCUUUUGCUUGUUGAGUGUUGGAUGUGGGGGUUGCUGGACUCUUUAUGAGGUCAGCUCCCCUAAAAUGCAUUAGCAAAACAAUUUGUUGAUCGCUCAUUGGUGUGAUAACUAUCUACGCUAUUGACGUGAUGCAGGUUUAGCUUCUAACAGUCCAUUGACUUGGACAAAUUUUUAUUAAUGUGACCUCAAAUCAGGUAGGACU
rnacentral:rRNA from 1 species